rnacentral:tRNA from 1 species
GGGAAUAUGGCUCAGUUGGUAGAGCAAUUGACUGUUAAUCAAUGUGUCACAGGUUCAAGUCCUGUUAUUCCCGCCA